CAGUAGCCACGGUAAUACAUAGGUGGCAAGCGUUGUCCGGAAUUAUUGGGCGUAAAGGGCUCGCAGGCGGUUUCUUAAGUCUGAUGUGAAAGCCCCCGGCUCAACCGGGGAGGGUCAUUGGAAACUGGGAAACUUGAGUGCAGAAGAGGAGAGUGGAAUUCCACGUGUAGCGGUGAAAUGCGUAGAGAUGUGGAGGAACACCAGUGGCGAAGGCGACUCUCUGGUCUGUAACUGACGCUGAGGAGCGAAAGCAUGGGGAGCGAACAGGAUUAGAUACCCCGGUAGUCCCUGUCUCUUAUAC
rnacentral:rRNA from 1 species